CUUCACAGUGAUGGCUGACCAGGGCUUCCUGACCUAUACAGGCUUCUGCUAUACAGGUGAUGGCCAGUCCUGGCGUCUGAGUGAUU